UGCGGAGGAUCAUUACCGAGUGAGGGCCCUCUGGGUCCAACCUCCCACCCGUGUUUAUUUUACCUUGUUGCUUCGGCGGGCCCGCCUUAACUGGCCGCCGGGGGGCUCACGCCCCCGGGCCCGCGCCCGCCGAAGACACCCUCGAACUCUGUCUGAAGAUUGUAGUCUGAGUGAAAAUAUAAAUUAUUUAAAACUUUCAACAACGGAUCUCUUGGUUCCGGCAUCGAUGAAGAACGCAGCGAAAUGCGAUACGUAAUGUGAAUUGCAAAUUCAGUGAAUCAUCGAGUCUUUGAACGCACAUUGCGCCCCCUGGUAUUCCGGGGGGCAUGCCUGUCCGAGCGUCAUUACUGCCCUCAAGCCCGGCUUGUGUGUUGGGCCCCGUCCUCCGAUCCCGGGGGACGGGCCCGAAAGGCAGCGGCGGCACCGCGUCCGGUCCUCGAGCGUAUGGGGCUUUGUCACCCGCUCUGUAGGCCCGGCCGGCGCUUGCCGAUCAACCCCAAUUUUUUAUAGGUUGACCUCGGAUCAGGUAGGGAUACCCGCUGAACUUAAGCAUAUCAAUAAGCGGAGGAA
rnacentral:rRNA from 1 species